AACAGCUCUUCAACCACUUGCGGCAGAAUUUCAAAAUCUAUUUAGUAUGGAGAUGUUGGCACAAGAAGGUGAACUGUCAUUAUAUAUCAAUCUUUUGCUCUGGCUGCUAUUGACUUGACUACAUUGUCUCACUGAGCAGUGUUUUCUCAUGGAGGAAAGAAAGAUGGGCCAAAUCAUGCGGGUAAGUGCCCAAGAAAUUUCAUACUAGCUACUUCCACUACUGUCACCCCUAAGUAUUGCAUUAUUUGUGAGAGUUCGGCCAUUUGAAGAAAAGACAUCGGAUUAUACAAAGUGUCCCUAAUGCUAUGAUGUUGACAUUCGACCAUUUGAAGAAAAUACAUCGGAUUAUACAAAGUGUCCCUAAUGCUAUGAUGUUGACAUAAUCUGGUUGGCGACAUUUUCUAAUUCAUUACAUUAAAGAUUAUUUGGAUCAUUGUUCCAAUGUAUCUCAGCCUUUCUGCAAGUUCCAAUUUAGAAGGCUGAAAUUGACCAUUAGAAAACAAAACAAUGGCCAAUAAAAAGAAUUCUCCUUUGAAGUUUAUUUUAAUGAGCAUAAAACUAGGCGAAGAGUCUAAUUACUGCUUUUCUGUUGUUUCACUUUAUAGGGUAGGGUCACCGUGCCUAUGUGGGUCAUAGAAAAGAAAAUACAUAAAGCCUAACAAGCGAGCCAUGCUUCCUUGAAAUUUGCCAGAACUGUCAUCACCUAUGGUUGAUUAAGAAAAAAAACAGGAAACAAGAGACCUGGUUU
rnacentral:lncRNA from 1 species